ACCAACCACUACAAACAAAAGACAACCUGAGAAAAGAAUAUAUGCAACUUGUCACAGGCAAAAGGCUAAUUUCCGUAAUAUAUACAGCAUUCCUACAAACUAACAAGGAAUGCAUUGUUAAUUUUUGUGCAUUGCUAGUGAGAAGGUAAAGUAGUGCGAUCUUUGCAGCAACAAUUUGUAAGUAUCAAAAUUAUAAAUGCACAUGCCCUUUGACUUAGGAAUUUUACUUAUAGAAUUGUGAAUGUACAGCUUAUUCAUUGUAGCAUUGUUUAAAUGGCAGUACCUCAAAAAUCUAUCAGUAGGGACUAAUUAAAUGAACUCUGGUCCAUUAUAUAGUCAUAGAAAUUAAUGAAGAGCCAGGCACAGUGGCUGAAGCCUGUAAUCCCAGCACUUUGGGAGGAUCACUUGAGCCCAGGAGUUCAAGACCAGCAUGGGCAACAUAGGAAGACCCCAUUUCUACAAAAAAAACCCAAAAAUGUUAGCAGGAUGCAGUGGGGCAAGCCUGUGGCCCUAGCUACUAGGGAGGCUGAUGUAGAAGGAUUGCUUGAGUCCCAGAGGUGUAGGCUGCAGUGAGCUGUGAUUGCAACAAUUGCACUCCAUCCUGGGCAACAGAGUGAGAUCCUGUCUCAAAAAAAAAAGAAAUUAAUGAAGAUAUUUUUUAUUGCUAUUAUGAUAAAAUGCCUAAGAUAUAUUAAAUGAAACAAAGGUAGAUGCAGUGAAUAAUAUACUACUGUUUGUGUAAAUAGAAGCUAUAUGUAUGUAUGCAUAUAUGUAUAUACUUGUGUGUGUGUGUGUGUGUAUAAUUGCUUUUAUUAGAUUAAGUCUUUAUAAAAGGAUGCAUAAGAAACCAAAACAUUGGUGAUCCUUAGGGAGAACUAAGGUAGCUGGAGGAAGGAGAGGGGGGCUUUUGAAUUUUGAACCAUGUGAAUACAAGAACAAUUUGAAACAUAUAAAUAAAUAAAAUUAAGAAAAAAGUAGGGGUGACUAACAAUAAAAUGUCACCAAAAAAAGAUGGAAAAUAGUAAGAAUGAGGCCUGAAAAUAGGCUAUUCCAUUUGGCAAGUAAGAGGCCAUUGCUGAUCUUAGAGCAAUUUCCACAGAAUGAGAGGCAGAAG
rnacentral:lncRNA from 10 species